UUUUUGAGAAAGUUGCCUCUAUAUCCAAACGGGACAUAUAGAUAAUAUCAGCCAAAGAGAAAGAGAAAGAUAUAGAGAGAGAUGGGUUCUUUACAGUUAAAUCAUGUGUUCAUUGUGGUUCUGCUUCUUUGCGUUCUCCCUUGCCUUACCGAAUCUGCUCUCCCUUCUCAAUAUGAACCACUUUCAAUCAACGGUUAGUUUUACUUUUUCAGUACUGUUGGAGGUGAAAACCGCACCCCGGUUUUCUCCGGUGCAAACCGAAAUCGACAAAACAUAAGCCUGGUUUACGAAGGGACGUAUCAAGAAAAGAUGAGCCGAGCAAAGAUGGGCCGAAUACAGCCCAUUAGGCCGAGGUCGGUGAGAAACCUCUCGAAGGAAUAGAGAGUUUCCUGAGCUCGGUCGAAACAGGAAAGUUUCCUAAUGGGAAAAGGAAACUUUGGAGAGAAAAGGAAAGGAACCGAGAGAAAAUGAAACUCCUCUCGGUCCCAUAUCGUCUAAGGCGUGCUUGAAGACCGACUUAAGAGAUAUAUAUAAAGGGAGACGAAUCGACACCAGAAAACACAAGAUAUUCCCGAGAAGACUUAAAGACUGAGAACUCACUACGCUAGCUUCUUAGUCGCCUUAAGUCUUAGUUCGUUAUUGUCUAUCUGAAUAACCGAACUCAGUUGUAUUUUACUUGAUUCAAUCUAAUAAAAACCGAACUUCCGAUCUAAAAGUACUGUUUUGUCCUUUGUCGAUAUUUGCAUAUCAACACUUGGCGCGCCAGGAAGGGGGACUUAAACAGAUUUCUCAAAUUUUAGAUCGGACUUCGGAAAGAUUGAAUCAAUGAUGACGGAUCAAACCAACAUUCAUGAAGAAAAAAACCCUCUCGGAGGAGAGAACGCCAACGCCCCAACAGGGCAAGGAGGAGGAACUUCUGGGGAAAACGCUGGAACUAUAGCCGGCCAGACUCCCGCAGGAGGUUAUGGAACCGAACUGCUACUUCAAGUAUUUAAUGCCCAGUUCGAGGCCAUCAAAAAAAUAAGUGAGGAACGUUUCAGUCAGAUGGCGGCACAAAUCGCCGAACUCAGUCAAACACGAACUCCUCUCCGAGUUCGGAACAUCAUUGACGAUCUUAAUACCGACGGAGAUCCAGCCGGAACUAUGAGGUCUGCCGCAGUCGGGUCAGCGAAUGCACCAGCAUCGGAUUUGAGCCGAGACGCCGAGUUCGAAGCAAUGAAUGCGCAGCUUCGCGAUAUCACCUCAAAGAUACAUCAAGCCACAAGCGCGGCUCCGGAAAUCGAACGCGUCAUUCAGGAAACACAGAAGACACCCUUCACACCGUGCGUAGCAGGGACGCCGGUCAAACACAUGGAGAAACUAAAGAUAAAAAUCUACGAAGGCAACUCUGACCCCCGACACUUCUUGACAUCGUUCGGCAUCUGCAUGAACCGAUCCCAAUUCAAAUCCGCCGUAGAAAGAGACGCGGUUCAGUGCCAACUGUUUGUGGAAAGUCUGGGAGGAGUAGCCCUCGACUGGUUCUCGCGACUCAAAGCCAAUUCGAUCGACAACUACAAGGAGUUAACGACGGCUUUCGUCAAACACUUCUCCAUGUUCAUUGGACAGAACACCAAGAACUCCGAGCUCUGGCAAAUAGCUCAAGGACCAAGCGAGAGCCUUCGUGAUUUCAUCCAGCGCUUCAAGACGAUCGUCGCCAAUUGUACGAUUAACGACGAAGCCGCUCUCUUAUGUCUUCAGAAAGGAGCUCGGAUAAAGACUAGCUUCUGAAGCGCGAUCAAGCAUAACCCCCCACAGACAUUAGAAGACGCGUUGCACCGAGCUAAUACUUACAUCGCUGAAGAAGAAGAAGAAGCCGCGUACGAGCAGAGUUAUUCAACGAAGCAACCCGAACGUCCGAAAACCGUGACUAAUGAGCCGCAGUCGGGAUACGGUCGAGGAUACGAGAAUCGCAAAAAGGUCUAUGCUAAUGCGAUCCAACAACCGAACAAGAAGUGGAACAAUAAAUGGGUCCGCGGUGAAGAAGAUCAAGACGAGUCAUUAUUCUGCGAAUUCCAUAACCGUAGGGGCCACAGCACCGAAGAAUGCAGACAUCUGCGAGAAUAUCUACUCGGCCUAUAUCGAAAGGAACCGAUCUUGGUCGACGAACUCCGACGCUCAAACGCGUCUAAGAGCGGCGGGCAACUUUCGAUUGACGAUCUCCGUUGUUCACACAUGCCUUGACCAAACAACGAACAGCUUGAGAAAGCACUCGCCAAAGAUCCACCAGCUCCACCGGCUUUACCAACACUACCACCACCACCACCGAAUCCGCCUGUUUUGCCCGAGCAACAGAAACGGAAUCGUGAUGACCGAGCACCAGAGAAUCACGCUCCUAAGGCGCGGAAACGUGUCAACAUGAUAAUGGGGGCCAUCGAAGCUUGCAGUUAUUCGGUUCAAGCCAUCAAGGAAUACAGCCGACAGGCCGCCAGCGCGCCCAAAGCCCCGCAGGAUCCGCCGAAGGGAACACCCUUGGUAUUUACCGAGGCCGAUACAAUCGGGUUGCACAAACCGCAUAACGAUGCCCUCGUCGUCGAACUACUCCUCGACGAUGUUGAAGUUAGCCGAAUUCUGGUCGAUACGGGUAGUUCGGUUAACAUUAUCUUCAAGGAAGCACUGACCAGCUCGAACUAGCAUCAGAUAGGAUUGAGCCAUUUAUCGAGCCACUUACCGGUUUCGAUGGAGAACGUUGUAUGACGGUCGGCAUGGUCAAUAUUCCGAUCUACCUCGGCGGAGUCGCGAAGAUUAUCCAGUUCCUUAUCCUCGACAAACCGGCAAUCUACAACGCUAUUCUCGGUACACCUUGGCUACACGCGAUGAAAGCGGUCGCCUCGACGUACCAUUAAUGCCUAAAGUUCCCGACUCCCGACGGUGUUUACACUCUCCGAGGAAACCAAGCCGUCGCUCGAUCGUGAUACAUAAACGAGUGCAGACUUCAUUCGGCCAACCAGGCUUGUGUCAUUAGUUCGUUGGGACCAACUGACAAGCUCGUCGUCCAGCAGACAAAACCUAAGCAGGAGUCGAUUGUUCAAAUUUGCAUCGACGAACUAAGGCCAGAACGUCAAGUCGGAAUCGGCGCCGAGCUCGAUCCAGUCAUUCGCGAGCCACUCAUUCAUUUUUUGAAACAGCAUUCAUCAACCUUCGCUUGGUCGGUAGAAGAUAUGCCCGGGAUCGAUCCACAGAUCGCGUGUCACGAGCUCAACAUUGAUCCGACGUAUAAGCCAAUCAAGCAGAAACGCCGAAAGCUCAGACCAGAGAAAGCACAAGCCGUGAAUGAUGAGGUCGAGCGGUUACUCAAAGCCGGAUCCAUCACCGAAGUCAAGUACCCAGAUUGGUUAGCCAACCCCGUGGUUGUAAAAAAGAAGAACGGUAAAUGGAGGAUCUACGUCGACUUUACCGACCUCAAUAAGGCGUGUCCGAAAGACAGUUUUCCUUUGCCUCAUAUCGACCGCCUAGUGGAAGCGACUGCCGGGAACGAACUACUCUCGUUUAUGGACGCGUUCUCCGGGUACAAUCAGAUUCUUAUGCAUCCGCAAGAUCGGGAGAAGAAAUCGUUCAUCACGGACCGCGGCAUCUACUGCUAUAAGGUCAUGCCCUUCGGCCUGAAGAAUGCUGGAGCAACAUACCAACAAUUGGUAAACCGGAUGUUCGCAAGCCAGCUCGGGCGAACUAUGGAAGUUUACAUCGACGACAUGCUCGUGAAAUCGCUCAUCGCUUCCGAACAUGUCGGCCAUCUUCGCACAUGCUUCAAUAUUCUGGACCAGUAUGGUAUGAAGCUUAAUCCAACUAAGUGUACGUUCGGCAUGACUUCUGGAGAGUUCCUCGGAUACAUCGUUACACGGCGAGGCAUUGAAGCUAAUCCAAAACAGAUCGCCGCUAUUCUCGAGCUCCCGUCGCCGACAACCAAACGCGAAGUUCAGCGACUUACCGGACGUAUCGCAGCACUUAACUGAUUCAUAUCCAGAUCGACGGAUAAGUGCUUGCCUUUCUACCAACUUCUUCGCGGUAACAAGCAUCUCGAAUGGAACGAGAAGUGUGAAGAAGCCUUCGCCGAGCUAAAGAAAUACUUGUCCACUCCGCCAGUUUUAUCCAAACCAGAAACCGGCGAGACACUUUAUCUUUACAUCACGAUUUCGGAGUUCGUAGUCAGCAGUGUUCUUGUUCGAGAAGAUCACGGGGAGCAGAAGCCAAUUUUCUACACAAGCAAAUCCCUCGAUGGAUCGGAGUAUCGUUAUCCGACUUUGGAGAAAUUCGCCUUUGCGGUGGUUAUUUCUGCACGAAAGCUACGCCCGUACUUCCAAUCUCACGCGAUCGUGGUCCUAACCGAUCAUCCUCUUCGUACUUUCCUCCAUAGCCCAAGUCAGUCCGGACGACUCGUUAAGUAGGCUAUCGAACUCAGUGAAUAUGACAUCGAAUACCGAGGAAGAACAGCAACGAAGUCUCAAGUCCUAGCAGAUUUCUUGGUGGAACUCCCACCGGAGCUCGUCGACAAUAAUCCGGUCGUACAACCCUGGAUUCUUCACGCCGAUGGUUCAUCGUCCCAUAAAGGAUCCGGAGUCGGAAUUCGUCUCAAAUCACCCGAAGGAGAAGUUAUCGAGCAGUCGUUUCGUCUCGGCUUCCCGGCAUCCAACAACGAAGCCGAGUACGAAGCAUUGAUUGCCGGACUACGACUCGCCAAAGGCAUCGGCGCCGAGCACGUACACGCCUACUGCGACUCUCAACUCGUAGCUAACCAGUUUCACGGCGAAUACGAGGCCAAGAACGACUGCAUGGACGCAUAUCUCAAAGUCCUUAAAGAUGUCGCUUCGGAGUUCUCUACCUUCGAACUCACAAUGAUACCUCGAGAUGAGAAUGCAACCGCCGACGCCUUAGCCGCUCUCGCGACUAACUCUGAUCCUGACCUUCGGCGAACUAUCCCAAUUGUAGCAAUCGAGCGACCAAGUAUCGAGCCCGCUCCGAACUGCAACAUCAUUACAAGACGACGUGAUUACGAAACCCAACCCAAUCCCGCCCCACCCCUCACCCGGAAGACGAAACCCAAAGAAGUCGUUCCCGAUCCCAACAACGACACAGACGAGCUCAAUGAUAACGAAUUCGAUCCCGAAGACGAAUCCGAAGGCCAACAUAUUCCAAUCGAUUUCGAAGCCGAAGGAGAGGACGAACCCGAAGAUUCGACUUUAGAAAUUGUGGGAUACAUCGGAGAUUGAACAGUUCCCGCAGAUAAAUGGGCAGCUCGGUGCCUAAAGGCUCGUGCAGCUCGAUACGUGGUCAUUAAGGGUACUCUCCUCAGAUGGGAUGCGUCCGGUGUACUCUUGACUUGCGUUCACGGCAACGACAUCACGGAAGUAAUGCAGAAGGUCCAUGAAGGAGAAGGAGGAAAUCACUCCGGAGCUCGGUACUUGGCAUUUAAGAUCAAAAAAGCUGGCUAUUACUGGCCUACUAUGCUCUCCGAUUGCGAGAAGUAUACGGCACGCUGCGAGAAGUGCCAAUGUCAUGGUCCGAUGAUCAAUCUUCCUACCAAGCUCCUGAUGACCUCACCCCGGUUUUCUCCGGUGCAAACCGAGAUUGGCAAAACAUAAGCCCGGUUUACGAAGGGACGUACCGAGAAAAGAUGGGCCGAGCAAAGAUGGGCCGAAUACAGCCCAUUAGGCCGAGGUCGGUGAGAAACCUUUCGAAGGAAUAGAGAGUUUCCUGAGCUCGGUCGAAACAGGAAAGUUUCCUAAUGGGAAAAUGAAACUUUGGAGAGAAAAGGAAAGGAACCGAGAGAAAAGGAAAUUCCUCUCGGUCCCAUAUCGUCUAAGGCGUGCUUGAAGACCGACUUAGGAGAUAUAUAUAAAUGGAGACGAAUCGACACCAGAAAACACAAGAUAUUCCCGAGAAGACUUAAAGACUGAGAAUUCACUACGCUAGCUUCUUAAUCGCCUUAAGUCUUAGUUCGUUAUUUUCUAUCUGAAUAACCGAACUCAAUUGUAUUUUACUUGAUUCAAUCUAAUAAAAACCAAACUUCCGAUCUAAAAGUAUUGUUUGUCCCUUGUCCAUAUUUGCAUAUCAACAAGUACACACUGCAUUAAUACAUAUAAGUUGCAUACGUAGUACUUGUGUUUACAUAUGAUUGGUUAAUACUAUCAAUGGUCUAAAUUGAUGGAAGAUGUAAAUAUUUUGUGGUUCAUUAUCAUUUAAAAAGACAAACUAUAUAACAUGUAUAUAUAAAGACGAACGUACAAAAAAGAAAUCAAACUAAAGGUCUUCUACCAUAUCCUUAACUUUUCAAACUAUAAAUGGUUGUACACUCGUAGACUCAUACAUAUAUACAUACUCUAAUAAACUUAUACUAGAGGAUUUUUCAUGAUCUCUCUUUGAAUAAAACCCAAAAAUCGAGUAUGGUAAAAAAAUUAUCUCUUUGAGCACCUCCACUUUUUUUUAAAAUAUAUUUUUAUUAUUAAAAUCCCAAAAUGGGCAUCGGAACAAUACAUCUCCGCUGGUGAAUCUGAACAAAAGAGUGAAAAAAGACUUGGAAAUAGAUUAGGCUAGAUGACUAGAAUAAAUAACAAAGAAGCAAACUAUAAUAUCUUAAUAUCUUAUGACUAACGAUGUCUUCUGAAUUAUUUGAAGGGAGGAGAAUGAUAGGUUCUAAUAAUCGCAUACCCAUAAGGACAGGACAUUCAUCAAAUGGACAAGGUGGAAGUCCUAAUGGUAUAAUACUAUAAUAAUCUCCCACAUCAUAUAUUAAUUUCUUAUAAACUUUUUCCACGUUUCUUUUCGAUUUAUUCUAAUCUAAUUUCAUUACAUAAUUCAUCUAUAAUAAUUUGCUUCCUUUUUUAAAAAAAAAAUACUGAAUUAUUUACCUAUAUCUUGUAAAUAUAUGUGAACUAUAGGGAGAAGACUAAUGAGUAUAUAUAUUCCAAACGGGGACAUAUUUGCAAGACCAUCAGGCAGUGGGCAUGGUGGUGGUCGCAAUCCAGCUCCCUAGUACACUAUCCAUUUAUAUAUGUGUGUAUUAAUGUCAUGUGUAAUUUCUACUUUCACAAGUUAAGCUUUUAAUUUUGCAUGUGUUGGUGUAAUAAAAUAUGUCCUAAUGUAAUGUUAAAAUCCUG
rnacentral:lncRNA from 1 species